rnacentral:rRNA from 1 species
AUGCAAGUCGGAAUGCAUCGGGAUCCAGUGGCGGAAGGGUGAGUAACACGUGAGCAACCCGCCCCCAAGGCCGGAACAAGCGCUGGAAACGGCGUCUGAAACCGGAUGAGGACCCCCACCGCAUGGCGGGGCGUCCAAAUAUUCAUACCCUGGGGAUGGGCUCGCGGCCCAUUAGCUUGUCGGCGGGGCAACGGCCCACCGAGGCGACGACGGGUAUGUGGUCUGAGAGGAUGGUCACCCACACUGGGACUGAGACACUGCCCAGACUCCUGCGGGAGGCUGCAGUCGAGAAUCUUCCGCAAUGGGCGCAAGCCUGACGGAGCGAUGCCGCGUGAGGGACGGAGGCCUUCGGGUCGUGAACCUCUGUCGCCCGGGACGAUGGUGACGGUACCGGGAAAGGAAGCCACGGCUAACCACGUGCCAGCAGCCGCGGUAACACGUGGGU